AUUUAAUUUAAUUUGAUUUUAUUUUAUUUUAUCUUAUUCGAUUUGAUUUGAUUUUAUUUUACUUUAUUUUAUUUUAUUUUAUUUUUUGUUUUAUUUUAUUUUAUUUUAUUUUAUUUUUGGGUUAUGCGCUGCUUCUGAUGGCAGUAAUGAUUAACAUCUACUGAGGGAUGCUAAAAAUUUUAAAUCCACUGAAGGAUAUCCGGAAGGUACACCUAUUGACGGGUGUUGGAAGGAAGUGCACUUACUAAUAACCAGGUUUGGGUCAGGCUUGUGACAUUAAACAAGCGCUACUAGGAGACAACCUAGAUUUUCUUCUUACACUUUUGCAUUUUAAAUUCUUAGAAUAGGUUGAAUUUUUAUUUUUGGUGUGUGCUCUUGGCUUUACUAC
rnacentral:lncRNA from 1 species